rnacentral:rRNA from 1 species
AUUGAACGCUGGCGGCAGGCCUAACACAUGCAAGUCGAACGGGUCCUUCGGGACUAGUGGCGGACGGGUGAGUAACGCGUGGGAACGUGCCCUUUGCUACGGAAUAGCCCCGGGAAACUGGGAGUAAUACCGUAUAAGCCCUACGGGGGAAAGAUUUAUCGGCAAAGGAUCGGCCCGCGUUGGAUUAGGUAGUUGGUGGGGUAAUGGCCUACCAAGCCGACGAUCCAUAGCUGGUUUGAGAGGAUGAUCAGCCACACUGGGACUGAGACACGGCCCAGACUCCUACGGGAGGCAGCAGUGGGGAAUCUUAGACAAUGGGGGAAACCCUGAUCUAGCCAUGCCGCGUGAUCGAUGAAGGCCUUAGGGUUGUAAAGAUCUUUCAGGUGGGAAGAUAAUGACUGUACCACCAGAAGAAGCCCCGGCUAACUCCGUGCCAGCAGCCGCCGUAAAAC